rnacentral:rRNA from 1 species
GGCCAGACUCCUACGGGAGGCAGCAGUGAGGAAUAUUGGUCAAUGGGCGCGAGCCUGAACCAGCCAAGUCGCGUGAGGGAAGACGGUCCUAUGGAUUGUAAACCUCUUUUGUCGGGGAGCAAAAGACGCCACGCGUGGCGUUCCGAGAGUACCCGAAGAAAAAGCAUCGGCUAACUCCGUGCCAGCAGCCGCGGUAAUACGUAGGGAGCAAGCGUUGUCCGGAUUUACUGGGUGUAAAGGGUGCGUAGGCGGCCUUGCAAGUCAGAAGUGAAAUCCAUGGGCUUAACCCGUGAACUGCUUUUGAAACUGUAGGGCUUGAGUGAAGUAGAGGCAGGCGGAAUUCCCGGUGUAGCGGUGAAAUGCGUAGAGAUCGGGAGGAACACCAGUGGCGAAGGCGGCUUACUGGACUGUAACUGACGUUGAGGCUCGAAAGCGUGGGGAGCAAACAGGAUUAGAUACCCCCGUAU